rnacentral:rRNA from 1 species
UACAGAGGGGGCUAGCGUUGUUCGGAAUUACUGGGCGUAAAGGGCGCGUAGGUGGCCUGUUAAGUCGAACGUGAAAUCCCCGGGCUCAACCCGGGAACUGCGUCCGAGACUGGCAGGCUCGAAUCCGGGAGAGGGAUGUGGAAUUCCAGGUGUAGCGGUGGAAUGCGUAGAUAUCUGGAGGAACACCGGUGGCGAAGGCGGCAUCCUGGACCGGUAUUGACGCUGAGGCGCGAAAGCCAGGGGAGCAAACGGG